rnacentral:rRNA from 1 species
AAAUGAAUAGACGGGGACCCGCACAAGCGGUGGAACAUGUGGUUCAAUUCGAUGCUACGCGAAGAACCUCACCAGGGCUUGACAUAUAGGAAGUAGUGAACCGAAAGGGGAACGAGCCGUCAAGCCGGACACCUAUACAGGUGCUGCAUGGCUGUCGUCAGCUCGUGUCGUGAGAUGUUGGGUUAAGUCCCGCAACGAGCGCAACCAUUUUCCCAUGUUGCCAAGGUUUUUAGCCGAAAGGUUGAAAAUCUGCACUCUUGGGAGACUGCCUGGGAUAACCAGGAGGAAGGUGGAGAUGACGUCAAGUCAGUACGGCCUUUAUGCCCUGGGCUACACACGUGUUACAAUGGCUGUUACAAAGAGUUGCCAACCUGCGAAGGGGAGCCAAUCUCUAAAAAGCAGCCCCAGUUCAGAUUGAAGUCUGCAAUUCGACUUCAUGAAGCCGGAAUCGCUAGUAAUGGAAGAUCAGCACGCUUCCGUGAAUACGUUCCCGGGUCUUGUACACACCGCCCGU